rnacentral:rRNA from 1 species
AGAGUUUGAUUAGGCUCAGGAUGAACGCUAGCUACAGGCUUAACACAUGCAAGUCGCGGGGCAGCACUGUGGUUGCUUGCAACCACUGGUGGCGACCGGCGCACGGGUGAGUAACGCGUAUCCAACCUGCCCUGCAGUGGGGAACAGCCCGGCGAAAGUCGGAUUAAUGCCCCAUGGCGUCCUCGGCGGGCAUCUAAUGAGGACUAAAGGCUUCGGCCGCUGCGGGAUGGGGAUGCGUAGGAUUAGGCAGGCGGCGGGGCGACGGCCCACCGCGCCGACGAUCCUUAGGGGUUCUGAGAGGAAGGUCCCCCACACUGGUACUGAGACACGGACCAGACUCCUACGGGAGGCAGCAGUGAGGAAUAUUGGUCAAUGGGCGCGAGCCUGAACCAGCCAAGUAGCGUGCAGGAAGACGGCCCUACGGGUUGUAAACUGCUUUUAUGCGGGGAUAAAGUGGGCUACGCGUAGCCCUUUGCAGGUACCGCAUGAAUAAGGACCGGCUAAUUCCGUGCCAGCAGCCGC